UUGGCCUGUAUUUUUGUGAAGUUUAUUCAAAACCCUUAUGUGUGUUGACCUUUCUCUCCUCCUGCUGCUCCAUAAAAUAGAAAAUAAAAUGUAUGGAGCAUAUGUUUUUCCUUAGAAUGCGAAGUAUGAGCUGGCAGUGGAGGAAGCAGGGAUACUGAUUCCCGGGGAGUCCUGGAGGAGCUUAGGAUCUCUUUGAGAAGAUGACACGCAAGCAUGAAGGAAUCAAAGCAGGGAGGGUUGAAAAGCGAUGGCGACUUGCAAGAAGAGACGUGAAAGGGGCCAACUGAAAAAGUGUAAAGAAACAUGAAGUGCUGCUUCCCCUGGAUGUUAAAAUUGAGAACAGAGAGCAGCACACGGCAAUUCUGGAGAGAGGGAGGCUGGAGUGGGGGCUGUUUAUAGGCACAGUGCGUGGGGGAUGCUGGAGGCUCUUCCUACCCACCUUCCCCUGCAGGCUGGCCUGGCUCGCGGAGAGAGAGGUGUGGGAGGGGAACAUGUACAGACCCAAGUUCUUAGAGGAAGAAAGAAAACCAAGAAAGGGAAAAAGGGCAAACAAAUGGGAAAGCAGGAAAGAAGGAGAAAAGGAGUCAUCACUUGGAGCCAGAGGCUGCAGUCGGGGAGUGAAGAAGCAAUCAAGGGAAAACAAGACAGUGUGGACGCAGACCCUAAACACUGGCAGCAGGGGGCGCUGGAGAGACCACUCUAGUUCUCUGAUCCACAUCUCCCUUCCUUUUCUGGACAGAUGCCCUGACCUUCCAGGAAACCCUUGGUGAGAGGCCCACAGCCCUACUUCUAGGGUCACCACUGCUUCUUCCAGCCCAGCCAAACAGCUCCUAGUACAGCUCAGAGCACCCUGCAAGGAGGGCAGGUGUUAAAUCGAGGAGCACACAUGCUCCACGAGGAAUGCUUUGCUUUGAGGUCAUGCACAGAGGUGGGUUCACUAUGAAGCUUGUGAAAUAAGCUUCAGGGCCCGCAAUUUGCAUGGACCCCAGAGAGUCUGGGAGCUGCAGAAGGUUUGAGGGAAGAGGAGCCAUCCCAAGCAGAAUAUAUUCUAGAAGGCAUUUCUGGCAAAUGGCCCAAAGAGGCCUCAGGAGAAAAGAACUUGAGUCUUCAAGGAUGCAAUGAGAAGGCACCAUCUGUGAGGAACAGACCUUCAACAGACACCGAAUUUGCUGGCACUUUGAUCUUGGACUUCCCGGCCUCCAAAAUUAUCCAUAAUGGAUUCCUGGGACAUUUUCAGAUCUCCUUCCAGCUUCCUCUUCGCCCUUUCCAGGUCCGCCCGCAGUUUCUUUUCCU